rnacentral:rRNA from 1 species
CCUACGGGGGACAGCAGUGGGGAAUAUUGGGCAAUGGGCGCAAGCCUGACCCAGCAACGCCGCGUGAAGGAAGAAGGCUUUCGGGUUGUUAACUUCUUUUAAGGGGGAAGAGCAGAAGACGGUACCCCUUGAAUAAGCCACGGCUAACUACGUGCCAGCAGCUGCGGUAAUACGUAGGUGGCAAGCGUUGUCCGGAUUUACUGGGUGUAAAGGGCGUGCAGCCGGAGAGACAAGUCAGAUGUGAAAUCCACGGGCUCAACCCGUGAACUGCAUUUGAAACUGUUUCCCUUGAGUGUCGGAGAGGUAAUCGGAAUGCCUUGUGUAGCGGUGAAAUGCGUAGAUAUAAGGAAGAACACCAGUGGCGAAGGCGGAUUACUGGACGAUAACUGACGGUGAGGCGCGAAAGCGUGGGGAGCAAACAGGAUUAGAUACCCUUGUAGUC